rnacentral:rRNA from 1 species
AUGAGCAAAGCUAUACCAAAAAUAGGUUCACGUAAGAAAGUGCCUAUUAGUUUGCGUAGGAAUGCCCGUUUUAGUUUACGGAAGAGUGCACGUAGAAUAACAAAAGGGGUUAUUCAUGUGAAAGCCAGUUUCAACAAUACCGAAAUCAAGGAAUCUCUCCGGGAAGACAGUCAAGGAAAGGGAAACAUUACUCUACUAAGAAAUAAACUCGUAUAA